rnacentral:tRNA from 1 species
GGACCCUUAGCUCAGUUGGUUAGAGCAUCCGGCUCAUAACCGGACGGUCAUAGGUUCGAGUCCUAUAGGGUCCA